rnacentral:rRNA from 1 species
CGGACGGGUGAGUAACGCGUGGGUAACCUGCCUCAUACAGGGGGAUAACAGUUAGAAAUGACUGCUAAUACCGCAUAAGACCACGGAGCCGCAUGGCUCAGUGGGAAAAACUCCGGUGGUAUGAGAUGGACCCGCGUCUGAUUAGGUAGUUGGUGGGGCAACGGCCUACCAAGCCAACGAUCAGUAGCCGACCUGAGAGGGUGACCGGCCACAUUGGGACUGAGACACGGCCCAA